UCCGUAGGCGGGCAAUUAAGUCAGAGGUGAAAUCCCACAGCUCAACUGUGGAACUGCCUUUGAUACUGGUUGUCUUGAGUUACAGUGAAGUAGAUAGAAUAUGUAGUGUAGCGGUGAAAUGCAUAGAUAUUACAUAGAAUACCGAUUGCGAAGGCAGUCUACUAACUAACAACUGACGCUAAUGGACGAAAGCGUGGGGAGCGAACAGGAUUAGAUACCCUGGUAGUCC
rnacentral:rRNA from 1 species